rnacentral:lncRNA from 1 species
CGGAAGUGAAUGCCCGUGUGAACUCAUUGAUGACUGACUGAACUCGCCGAUGAGCGGCACCUCAGAAGAAGCACCAGCAUACACGUAAUGUCUUCACAACAGCGCUCCUGACAAGUUUGACUGCACAGAUGGCAACCGGUGAAUCAGACGCAUCACGUCAAGCCUGAACAACUGAGAUGACGCAUUUUUCGGCUGUUUUGGCUCUUUCUAUCACCUCGCUGUGCGCCUUUUUGGAUGGACGGGCAGAAGGGUGAGGAGGUGCGGAGCUGCACAGAUGGAGUGCCAGGCUUGGGUUGCAGUCCUGAAAUUGGAGGGUGUGAUGGGUGGAGACGGAGGGCUGGAAGGGGGUCGCUGGUUUGUGACAGACUCGUGGCUGGUGGCUGUGGAUGCAGGGCUAGG